ACGCACCGAACAGUGGUGCUCCCCCCUACUCCCCGAACUGUUCCUGUGGUGGCGGUGCACAGUGCGCGGGACGUGACGGGGGUUCAAUACUCGCUAGUGGGAGGAGCUAGCCGAGGAGGACGGCCCGUGCGGCCGUGCGCACGCACGCACUAGCGCUCUAGCUCCCCUAGAACUGACUGCGGGAUGUUGCGGGAUGCCCGCGCCGCGCGCGGCUGGCUCGGCACGGCAGGACUCCACGCGCGAUCUCCACGCGCACGCGUGCCUGCUGCCACUCUGGCUGGCUAGUGGACCGGACGUGGACGGCCG
rnacentral:lncRNA from 1 species